GACGGAGGGGGCUAGCGUUGUUCGGAAUUACUGGGCGUAAAGCGCGCGUAGGCGGCGCGUCAAGUCAGGUGUGAAAGCCCCGGGCUCAACCCGGGAAUUGCACUUGAGACUGGCGUGCUCGAGUCCGGGAGAGGGUGGUAGAAUUCCCAGUGUAGAGGUGAAAUUCGUAGAUAUUGGGAGGAACACCGGUGGCGAAGGCGGCCACCUGGUCCGGUACUGACGCUGAGGCGCGAAAGCGUGGGGAGCAAACAGG
rnacentral:rRNA from 1 species